rnacentral:rRNA from 1 species
AACGAACGCUGGCGGCAGGCCUAACACAUGCAAGUCGAGCGAGAUCUUCGGGUCUAGCGGCGGACGGGUGAGUAACGCGUGGGAAUAUGCCUCUUGGUACGGAAUAGCCUCGGGAAACUGGGAGUAAUACCGUAUGUGCCCUUUGGGGGAAAGAUUUAUCGCCAAGAGAUUAGCCCGCGUUGGAUUAGGUAGUUGGUGGGGUAAUGGCCUACCAAGCCGACGAUCCAUAGCUGGUUUGAGAGGAUGAUCAGCCACACUGGGACUGAGACACGGCCCAGACUCCUACGGGAGGCAGCAGUGGGGAAUCUUGGACAAUGGGGGCAACCCUGAUCUAGCCAUGCCGCGUGAGUGAUGAAGGCCUUAGGGUUGUAAAGCUCUUUCAGCUGGGAAGAUAAUGACGGUACCAGCAGAAGAAGCCCCGGCUAACUCCGUG